rnacentral:rRNA from 1 species
AGUGAACGCUGGCGGUAGGCCUAACACAUGCAAGUCGAACGGCAGCACAGUAAGAGCUUGCUCUUACGGGUGGCGAGUGGCGGACGGGUGAGGAAUACAUCGGAAUCUACUUUUUCGUGGGGGAUAACGUAGGGAAACUUACGCUAAUACCGCAUACGACCUACGGGUGAAAGCAGGGGAUCUUCGGACCUUGCGCGAUUGAAUGAGCCGAUGUCGGAUUAGCUAGUUGGCGGGGUGAAGGCCCACCAAGGCGACGAUCCGUAGCUGGUCUGAGAGGAUGAUCAGCCGCACUGGAACUGAGACACGGUCCAGACUCCUACGGGAGGCAGCAGUGGGGAAUAUUGGACAAUGGGCGCAAGCCUGAUCCAGCCAUACCGCGUGGGUGAAGAAGGCCUUCGGGUUGUAAAGCCCUUUUGUUGGGAAAGAAAAGCAGCAGGUUAAUACCCCGCUGUUCUGACGGUACCCAAAGAAUAAGCACCGGCUAACUUCGUG